GAUGAACGCUGGCGGCGUGCCUAAUACAUGCAAGUCGAGCGAACGGACGAGAAGCUUGCUUCUCUGAUGUUAGCGGCGGACGGGUGAGUAACACGUGGAUAACCUACCUAUAAGACUGGGAUAACUUCGGGAAACCGGAGCUAAUACCGGAUAAUAUUUUGAACCGCAUGGUUCAAAAGUGAAAGACGGUCUUGCUGUCACUUAUAGAUGGAUCCGCGCUGCAUUAGCUAGUUGGUAAGGUAACUGCUUACCAAGGCAACGAUGCAUAGCCGACCUGAGAGGGUGAUCGGCCACCCGGGAACUGAGACACGGUCCAGACUCCUACGGGAGGCAGCAGUAGGGAAUCUUCCGCAAUGGGCGAAAGCCUGACGGAGCAACGCCGCGUGAGUGAUGAAGGUCUUCGGAUCGUAAAACUCUGUUAUUAGGGAAGAACAUAUGUGUAAGUAACUGUGCACAUCUUGACGGUACCUAAUCAGAAAGCCACGGCUAACUACGUG
rnacentral:rRNA from 1 species